CUACGGGGCAUUUGUAAGACCUAUUUUUUAACUGACAUAGACUUACAGGUGGAGAAAUAAAUAAUAAAAAAUUAUGUUCAUAUUAAAUAUUAUUUUUAAAUCAUAUUAAAAUCAUUAAAAACAUUAAAAAAUGAAAAGAAAAAAAAAAUCUUAUCUCUCUUCUCCUACCCAGGCAACCCUCUUUCCCACCCGACUCAACCCCACCUCACAGCCACCCCUCUUCCAUUGCCUACCCAAAAACCCAACUCUCUUUCUCUUUCCUCCUCCCUCCCAACCCACCCCAACUUCUCCAGAAACAUGAAAUUGGGGCUUUUUGGUGUUCUGCAACCUUCAAAUUCGAAUUUGAUCAAUAAAUUGACAAAGUACAAAUGAGGUUUUGAAAUCGAUUUGAGUUUGGUGGGUUAUGGCGACUGGCCUGGUUUUUUAUUAUUUAGAUUUAGAAAUUAUUUUUUUUUGGGUAGGGGAAGAUGGGUUCAGUGAAGUUCACAGAGUUGGUUGGGUGUGUGGCGUGGGUUCCUGGAGGAGAGAUCCAAGAACAACACCUCAUCCGCCAUUGAGAACUUAGAUUUGAAUUGAUUGAUACAAAAACUUACAAAACUUAGCUCAAGUAUGGAGCUGUCGAUGUUGGUGGUGAUGGUGUGUGUCAUUGUGAAUAUUUAUAGACAAACAUUCAAAGCAGAAGCAAUCAGAGUAUGUCGUUGCAAAGCUCAUCCUUCUUCUCCUCAAAUUUAAACCCAUUUUUCAACAACAUUAGGAAAUACAAAUUGUCAAGAAAUUUGGAAAAGAAGAAUAUUGGUAAAGUACUGUGAUAGGUUGAUUUCCAAAUUUCCAAGACAAAAUUCCUCAAGAAACUAAUAAACCCAGAAACAAGAUUAAUUUUUGGAACAAAAUGACAAAGUUCAAACAAACAUAAACUUGAAAAAGAACAGGGCCCAAAAAGGCAGAUACUUCACCAAUAACAAACGAUGAAGAUACUUCCCCAAAUGUAUUGUUCUAGCUACAAGAACGCCAAAAACACAUAUAAUUCCUCAAAUGUAAACUCAUUUUGCAGAUCCUAAGAUUGUUCUAGCUCCGGCGAGAUCUGAAGAACGACGACGAGCUCGCAAGGUCUUGAAAACAUCCCCCAUGGCUUGUCGCGAAGACCCAACCACCUGGGUUUUACAGAUCGAAGAUUUCUAGGUCCAAGGGAGGGGAGAGAGAGAGAGAGAGACGACGGAUCUGGCAAGGAAGCAUUGAGGGGCUAGGUGUUUUGGCGGCGGUGUUGGGUCUGGUAUAGUAGUAAGACACUGAUUGAGUUUGGUGGGUUAUGGAGGUCAGGCGCAGGGGAAAUGGGAGAAGAUGAGUUUUUU
rnacentral:lncRNA from 1 species